rnacentral:rRNA from 1 species
CCUACGGGAGGCAGCAGUAGGGAAUAUUGGACAAUGGGUGCGAGCCUGAUCCAGCCAUGCCGCGUGCAGGAAGAAGGCCUUCUGGGUUGUAAACUGCUUUUGCCGGGGGAUAAAAGACCCAUGCGUGGGGAAUUGAAGGUACCCGGUGAAUAAGCCACGGCUAACUACGUGCCAGCAGCCGCGGUAAUACGUAGGUGGCGAGCGUUGUCCGGAUUUAUUGGGUUUAAAGGGUGCGUAGGCGGCCCCGUAAGUCAGUGGUGAAAUACGGCAGCUCAACUGUCGAGGUGCCAUUGAUACUGCGGGGCUUGAGUACAGUCGAGGUAGGCGGAAUUGACGGUGUAGCGGUGAAAUGCUUAGAUAUCGUCAAGAACACCGAUAGCGAAGGCAGCUUGCUAGGCUGUAACUGACGCUGAGGCACGAAAGUGCGGGGAUCAAACAGGAUUAGAUACCCUGGUAGUCCGCACAGUAAACGAUGGUCACUCGGUGUUGGCGGUACACGGCCAGCGCCUUAGCGAAAGCGUUAAGUGACCACCUGGGGAGUACGCCCGCAAGGGUGAAACGUCAAAUUGAAUUGACGG